ACAGAUGACACCCUGAAUCUGUCUUCUGUUCUGAGAGUAUUUUUCUCCCACAGAAUACCAGAUCAUGCUCAGCUCUCAGGAUCUUACUCUUCAGGUGUGCUGGCCCUGCACCAUCUCCUCUCCACGCAGUGCUGUGCAGACAGCAUUCAGGUGGCAGCUCAGCCCUGCUGCCCUUACCUGCUCCUGCUCUGAAACUGCUCACGGGUUGCUGCAGUGAAGACACGUUCUGUGCUCUCCCUCCCCUCACCCACAUCAUUUGGAUUCACAUAAUCAAGCGUCUUGCAGCUGAAAUUGCUCAUGGAAAAAUAAUUUAAAAUUGGUUCAUUAAUGCUCAUUUGCGCAGAAUUCUUAAAUAUGAUAAGAACAUGAGAGAGAAAGAGAAAGGAUCUGAGUGAGAGUAGGAGGAUGUUGAAAGCAACUUUCCUGUAAUUGUAAAAUCUUGUGUCUAAAUAUGUUUAGACAAUGUGAGAAGUCAAUUUAAGAAGCUAGGAUACAUAGAACCACAGCAAGGGAGGAGAUAUCUGAGGGAAUGUACACAUCCCAUGCUUAACCUUUUUAGUUUCCCUGGAUAAUGCAGGAUUCUGAUUUGGUGCAAGACUGAAGUAUCACCACAACAGUCAGAAGCUGCAAUUUGCAAUUGGAGAAA
rnacentral:lncRNA from 1 species